UACAGAGGGUGCGAGCGUUAAUCGGAGUUACUGGGCGUAAAGCGUGCGCAGGCGGUUUUGUAAGUCAGAUGUGAAAUCCCCGGGCUUAACCUGGGAACUGCGUUUGAAACUACAAGGCUAGAGUGUGGCAGAGGGGGGUGGAAUUCCACGUGUAGCAGUGAAAUGCGUAGAGAUGUGGAGGAACACCGAUGGCGAAGGCAGCCCCUGGGUUAACACUGACGCUCAGGCACGAAAGCGUGGGGAGCAAACAGG
rnacentral:rRNA from 1 species